AGCGAACGCUGGCGGCAGGCCUAACACAUGCAAGUCGAACGAAGUCUUCGGACUUAGUGGCGGACGGGUGAGUAACACGUGGGAACGUGCCCUUUGGUACGGAAUAACUCAGGGAAACUUGAGCUAAUACCGUAUGUGCCCUUCGGGGGAAAGAUUUAUCGCCAUUGGAGCGGCCCGCGUCUGAUUAGCUAGUUGGUGAGGUAAAGGCUCACCAAGGCGACGAUCAGUAGCUGGUCUGAGAGGAUGAUCAGCCACAUUGGGACUGAGACACGGCCCAAACUCCUACGGGAGGCAGCAGUGGGGAAUCUUGCGCAAUGGGCGAAAGCCUGACGCAGCCAUGCCGCGUGAAUGAUGAAGGUCUUAGGAUUGUAAAAUUCUUUCACCGGGGACGAUAAUGACGGUACCCGGAGAAGAAGCCCCGGCUAACUUCGUGCCAGCAGCCGCGGUAA
rnacentral:rRNA from 1 species